UUCCUUCUUAUCUAAGCUGUACCACCUUGAGGGAGAGGUGAUGUUUGUAAAAUUCCUCUUACCCAUUUCAGUGGGGUUUUUUUGUUGUUGUUUGUUUUUUUGCUCCUACGGAGUUCUAGAACUUCUUUAGAAACCUGAACAUCUAUAAAGGCUCUCUUGUCCAGAUGUAUCUGUGCAAGCCAGCAUUUUCCAGAGGUUCCACAGUUUUAUUGGGGUAUAUCUGCCUGUUACCCAAUGCAGAGGUACUCUUCCUGAGUACCUUGGUGUGUGGUGCUGCGUACCACAGCUCCCACAGAGGCACUUUUGCUCACGGAUAGAUGCCAAAUUUUAGAAGUUAAAGAGGGGACAGAGAUCACGGGUGUCUUAUGGAACCAAAAUAUUACUCUGGCAGGCUCAGAAGAAGUGGAGUUUUAGGAAGAAUAAUUCCUUGGGCUUUGAAGAAGUCUGAGUAGAAAUUCUGAAAUCUGUCCCAGGGGACACGGGUUCGAUCCCUGGUCCAGGAAGAUCCCACAUGCCAUGGAGCAACUAAACCCAUGUGCCACAACUACUGAGCCCACGCACUGCAACCACUGAAGCCCGUGAACCUAGAGCCCAUGCUCCACAACAAGAGAAGCCACUGCAAUGAGAAGCCCAUGCACCGCAACGAAGAGUAGCCCCCCCUGCUUGCUGCAACUAGAGAAAGCCUGCACUCAGCAAUGAAGAUCCAAUGCAGCCAAAAAGAAAUAACUUUAAAAAGUAAAAAAAU